rnacentral:rRNA from 1 species
CAAUAGCGUAUAUUUAAGUUGUUGCAGUUAAAAAGCUCGUAGUUGGAUUUCGGAUGGGACUUGCCGGUCCGUCGUUUCGAUGUGCACUGGCCAGUCCCAUCUUGUUGUCGGGGACUAGCUCCUGGGCUUCACUGUCCGGGACUAGGAGCUGACGAGGUUACUUUGAGUAAAUUAGAGUGUUCAAAGCAAGCCUACGCUCUGAAUACAUUAGCAUGGAAUAACACGAUAGGACUCUGGCUUAUCUUGUUGGUCUGUGAGACCAGAGUAAUGAUUAAGAGGGACAGUCGGGGACAUUCGUAUUUCAUUGUCAGAGGUGAAAUUCUUGGAUUUAUGAAAGACGAACUUCUGCGAAAGCAUUUGCCAAGGAUGUUUUCAUUGA